GGCGAGAGGAGGUAGUAAAGACAAAUAUCGAUACAGAACUCAUUAGAGGUACUGUAAUCGAAAUGAGUGCAUUAUAAAUCCUACAACAAGGAUCUAUUGGAGGGCAAGUCUGGUGCCAGCAGCCGCGGUAACUCCAGCUCCAAUAGCAUAUAUUAAAAUUGCUGCAGUUAAAAAGCUCGUAGUUGGAUCUGGGUUCAGGUUCGGCUUACUUUGGGUUUACUUUAUCUUCGGAUUUUGUUUUCCCUUUGUUUGCUGGGCCGAAUCUUCCAGCUGUGUCUAGGUGGGACUUCGGUCUUGCUUAGAUAGUGGCGUUGUCUACGCUUGCCUCACGGCUUGCUAGCUUCGUUACUAUGCACUUGGAUGCCUUUUACCGGGUGUCCAGUGUGGACAGCACGUUUACUUUGAACAAAUUUGAGUGCUCAAAGCAGGCCUUGU
rnacentral:rRNA from 1 species